GAACCUCAACAAAUUUUCCUCCGUCUCUCUCUCUCUGAGAAUCCGUUCGUCUUCUCCGAGCCAAAAGCCUCUCGUCGACUUCACAGGUUUUUGGUGUGCUGAGGCGUGAGGGUGUAUCGUUAUUGCUUACUUGUAUCGAGUUUGAACUUGAGAUGAACAAUAUUAGUACUGCAGUUUCAGAAAUGAUGAUGUGACUGCUUCUUUUCAGGGACCUUUUGGUUUAGUGGACUUCUGAAGAAUCAUUCUCGAUUGACACUGUAUUUAUGCUUGAGGAUAUGUUGGCACAAUCUGCUGCCAUGUUUUGAGAGACUAGACUCUAAAGUCGGCUUAGUAUUGUGAGAGCACAAUAUAUGGUACUAACUAUUGAGAUUCCAUUUUAACUUGCUCACUUAAUGUUGAAUUGGAUCAACAUGAAGAACUGGAUCCAUUCACCUGAAGUGAUGGAGGCCAUACUGAGAUGGAGAAAUUGUAGCUUUGGUGAUGAUCAUGACAUGAUUCUUAGAUUGACCAUGCCUGAAUUGUGUAGUGAUGAAAAAGGUUAAAUUUACCAACAGUCUAGUGAGGCUAUUGAUGUGAACUUCUCUUUGUGUUGUGUCCACAUUGUGCCUACUAUGAUGAUGGAGUGGGUAGUUUCAGUUCCAUUUGAUUCAGUUCGCUUUUUCAUUGUACUGGUACUUGGAGUGAUCUUUGGGUGAUUCAGUAUGUUGGUGUUCCGUAGAGGGGUGUGGUGGGAUGUAGUGGUAAUUAUCUACUUAGGGGUGGUGUCAAUGAAAGGCGUGCAUUGUGACCUUCUUUUGGUCCUUCGAUACAUAUCAUAAGUGGAGGAUCUUAAGCAUUUGGAUUCAUAUUGUUUGGCCCUUUAGUCAGAACAAGCAUCCUGCAACAUGAUGGCACUGAAAUUUGUAUUUUGAUUCACAAUUUUUUGGGUUAAUGCUUGAUUAGCAAGUGGUAUUUUGGACCUAGUCACCUUAUCAUUACUUGAAGUACCCAUGUUGUAUGGCUGAGAAGACUGAGCAUGGAUCCCUAAGAUUGCUGUAGGUUAUCAGGAGAGAGGGAGAAGUGGGGUGUUGCGAGUU